GCAACCAAUCAGUUCGCUUUAUGCAGAGGCCUUGUUAACAAUGAAAAAAGCGAUCAGCUUGGUUGCUAUGGGCAACUGGGCAACUUUUUAUCUGGACAGUUUUCUGUUAAUCUCUCUCUCUCUAUAUAUAUAUCAUUACAUAUCUUAACAAGCAGAGAAGAUGGCGGAAGCAGCCCUGGAGAAUCCAACUACUUCACAAGCAGAUGAAACAACCAAAGCUGGAUGAUCUCCUCCAUUUACUCCAUCUCUUCCAUGAGCGUGUUAACCAAUCGACGACGGCAGAUGGGUUGCUGGUCGAGACACGACCACUGGCUGAUAACGGGAGCUCAGGCCUCUCGCUGCAACUCCUGCUGCCACUCGCCCCUAGUCUGCUGCCAACUCUGCCUGAAGUAUUUAGGUCUCUGCCACUCCUCUGUGCACGUCCUGGCACUUCUCUGCCUGACA